rnacentral:lncRNA from 1 species
CUUCUGACUUUAAAGAUGAAUGGCAGGCUGCAAGUUUCUGCAGGCUCGCUUUCAGGAAGGAAAUCUUCCAUGCCAGGAGCAGAAAGGAGGGGUGACACAAAGAUGGAGUGUGACUUCCUGCGUUCCAGAGAGCACGCCGGGUGCUGGGGCUGAGGCUGGCUUCGUGUCACAGGGUGCUGAAUCCAUCAGGACAAACGUGGCCUCGUGAUAC